rnacentral:rRNA from 1 species
GAUGAACGCUGGCGGCGUGCCUAAUACAUGCAAGUCGAGCGAACGGACGAGAAGCUUGCUUCUCUGAUGUUAGCGGCGGACGGGUGAGUAACACGUCGAUAACCUACCUUUAAGACUGGGAUAACUUCGGGAAACCGGAGCUAAUACCGGAUAAUAUUUUCAACCGCAUGGUUCAAAAGUGACAGACGGUCUUGCUGUCACUUAUAGAUGGAUCCGCGCUGCAUUAGCUAGUUGGUAAGGUAACGGCUUACCAAGGCGACGAUGCAUAGCCGACCUGAGAGGGUGAUCGGCCACACUGGAACUGAGACACGGUCCAGACUCCUACGGGAGGCAGCAGUAGGGAAUCUUCCGCAAUGGGCGAAAGCCUGACGGAGCAACGCCGCGUGAGUGAUGAAGGUCUUCGGGUCGUAAAACGCUGUUAUUGGGGAAGAACAUAUGUGGAAGGAACUGUGCACAUCUUGACGGUACCUAAUCAGAAAGCCACGGCUAACUACGUG